rnacentral:tRNA from 1 species
AUUUAUAUAGUUUACAAUAAAACAUUCUAUUUUCAAUAGAAAAAUAAGAUAUAUUUAUCUUUAUAAAUA